GUCACAUGGUGGCUCCGAGAGAGAUUCUCGCAUAAAAUAGAGGUAGCCAUUACGGUAGCCAUUACUCCAAUCGGUCCAAAGAGAAAAAGGAAUUGUCCCGAUGGAUAUAUUAACGAUUAGAUAUUAGAAAAACACCUUGAGGAUGGAUUCUAAACAACGUUUGCCAUGUUUCUGUCGAUAUUAUGGAGCUAAUUUGGAAUAUUUUUCGGAGUUGUGGUGACCGCAAUUUCCGGGCGAUUGCUCAGCCAAAUGUGAACAAACGGAGCUAUUUCGCCUACAAAAAUAAUCUUUUGGGAAAAAAAUUAACUUUGGCUGUCUACCUGGGAGUCUCGUGAGUGAAAACAUCCGAAGUUCAUCAAAGGGCUCUCCAGAGGGUGGUGCGGUCGGCACAACGCAUCACCGGGGGCAAGCUACCUUCCCUCCAGGACAACUACAGCACCCAAUGUCACAGGGAGGCCAAAAAGAUCAAGGACAACAACCACCCGAGCCACUGCCUGUUCACCCCGCUAACAUCCAGAAGGCAAGGUUAUGAAACUCUAUCGUCUGAGGCUGCAGCAAUAUCCCUUGACUGUACCUGAAACGAGACAAGAUCACCGGUGAAGUGCAACCGGCGGAACGGAAGAAGAAUUCCUCAAUACCGUCAGACUGUCAGAAUAGUUACCUAUGUGGGACUGAUACCAGUGUGGAAGAGCUGGUCACCUUUAAAGGACUUGGUGAAUGAUUACAUUGACAAUAGGAAGAUUGAAUAUUAUUGUCUUGCAGACAAGUGAAACAUGUUUGAAAUUAUUCUCCUUGUGAAUUUCCUCCUAAUACAGGAUGUGGAUUGUGUUUCCAUUUCUAACACAGAGAAGGAUGAGGGACACUCGGGCGUCAAUACAUUUCUGGUGCUUUCUUUACACUAUGCCACGGUAGUCAAAGUAGUUGUGGGGUUUGUACGCAUGCGGAAUAUCCCAUGUCUGUUGAAUUGACUCUCAGUAAUAACACUAUGACUACUUUUUAUGCCAAUAACCUUCAGUAAUAUCAUCAAUAAUGCUACGAUAGGUCCUAAUGGGACUUACUUUAUCUGUGGAUCCUAUGCCUAUUCCUGGUUACCAAAGUUGUGACGAGGGUCGUGUUAUUUGGGAUAUGUUGUACCCCAAGUAAGAUAUUCUGUGAAUUCACCUUUUUCACACCGUGAUAAACAUGUGAUUACAGAAACAGAGAUUCUUUGCGAUUGCUUUUCCUUCUUAUGGUAUUUCUAAAAUAACACGGGAAGUUAUUAAUAUGGCUAACUCUUUGGAUAUCCUAGCUAAUAGUACAACUGAGAGUCUUGAGUUAAUUACAGCUGAGAUGGUUGCCAUUCGGACUGUGGCAAUGGAAAAUUGUUUGGCCCUUGACUAUCUUCUCUCCGCAAGAGGGGUUACAUGUGCUGUCAUUGGUGCUGAAUGCUGUACUUACAUUCCUGAUGAAAUAACUAACCUAAUCCAAAAGAUCAGGAUUAUGAUAUUCAGAUGAUCCAGAUGAUUUAGGCUUAGUUACGUGGUUGUCUUCCACAUUCUGUACAUGGGGAAGAUUUUUGGUGGGCAUGAUACUUCCAAUAGUGGGAGCUGUGGUUAUUUUUCUUAUCCUCAUCCAGGUUAUCAAGUGUGCUAUUGCCCGAUGUUUGUCUGCUAAAAUCAGACUGUUACGUGAUAGGGGAUAUCAAAAGAUUCAUCAACCGUGUCCUUUUUGAGAUGGGUGUCAGUGGUGUUCACAAGAACGUGGUUGGGAUCAUAAGGGUCUUCAUCACACCAAGCCUCAUGAUUGUGUGCCUGUGGUAACUGUCUUUGGGGCUGUAACCAAAUCAAAUCAAAUCAAACGUAUUUAUAUAGCCCUUCGUACAUCAGCUGAUAUCUCAAAGUGCUGUACAGAAACCCAGCCUAAACCCCCAAACAGCAAGCAAUGCAGGUGUAGAAGCACGGUGGCUAGGAAAAACUCCCUAGAAAGGACAAAACCUAUGAAGAAACAUAGAGAGGAACCAGGCUAUGUGGGGUGGCCAGUCCUCUUCUGGCUGUGCCGGGUGGAGAUUAUAACAGAACAUGGCCAAGAUGUUCAAAUGUUCAUAAAUGACCAGCAUGGUUGAAUAAUAAUAAGGCAGAACAGUUGAAACUGGAGCAGCAGCACGGUCAGGUGGACUGGGGACAGCAAGGAGUCAUCAUGUCAGGUAGUCCUGGGGCAUGGUCCUAGGGCUCAGGUCCUCUGAGAGAGAGAAAGAAAGAGAGAAUUAGAGAGAGCAUAUGUGGGGUGGACAGUCCUCUUCUGGCUGUGCCGGGUGGAGAUUAUAACAGAACAUGGCCAAG
ensembl:lncRNA